GACGAACGCUGGCGGCGUGCCUAAUACAUGCAAGUUGAGCGCUGAAGGUUGGUACUUGUACCGACUGGAUGAGCAGCGAACGGGUGAGUAACGCGUGGGGAAUCUGCCUUUGAGCGGGGGACAACAUUUGGAAACGAAUGCUAAUACCGCAUAAAAACUUUAAACACAAGUUUUAAGUUUGAAAGAUGCAAUUGCAUCACUCAAAGAUGAUCUCGCGUUGUAUUAGCUAGUUGGUGAGGUAAAGGCUCACCAAGGCGAUGAUACAUAGCCGACCUGAGAGGGUGAUCGGCCACAUUGGGACUGAGACACGGCCCAAACUCCUACGGGAGGCAGCAGUAGGGAAUCUUCGGCAAUGGACGAAAGUCUGACCGAGCAACGCCGCGUGAGUGAAGAAGGUUUUCGGAUCGUAAAACUCUGUUGGUAGAGAAGAACGUUGGUGAGAGUGGAAAGCUCAUCAAGUGACGGUAACUACCCAGAAAGGGACGGCUAACUACGUG
rnacentral:rRNA from 1 species